CGGUAAUUCCAGCUCCAGUAGCGUAUAUUAAAGUUGUUGCAGUUGAAACGCUCGUAGUCUGAAAUUAAUCCUUUCAUAGGAAGUACUGUUCACCCUAAUUACUCUGGUCGUUAGGUAGUGACGGUCAUUCACCUUGAUGAAUCUAGAGUGUUCAAGGCAGGCACAGCCUGAAUACUGCUGCAUGGAAUGAGAUUGAUAUUAUAUCUCUCUCGGUCGGAGAGAUCAAAGUAUCUUAAGGAACAGUCGAGGGCAUUCGUACUUGACCGUCAGAGGUGAAAUUCUAGGAUUGGUCAAUGACGAACAAAAGCGAAAGCAUCUGCCAAGGAUGUUUUCUUUGAUCAAGAACGAAGGUUAAAGGAUCAAAGACGAUCAGAUACCAUCGUAGUCCUGACUGUAAACUAUGCCGACUAGAGCUUAAUUGAAUAACAUAAAUUCAGUUAGGAUCUAGAGAGAAAUCAAAGUUUUUGGGUUCUGGGGGAAGUAUGGUCACAAGGCUGAAACUUGAAGGAAUUGACGGAAGAGCACCACCAAGCGUGAAGCUUGCGGCUUAAUUUGACUCAACACGGGAAAACUUACCAAAUCAAAACGUGAUCAUGAUUGACAGGCUGAAAGUCCUUUCUUGAUUCCAUGGUUGGUGGUACAUGGCCGUUCUUAGUUGGUGGACUGAUUUGUCAGGUUAAUUCCGGUAACGAACGAGACCUUGGCCUACUAACUAGAUGAUUUACUUUUGUAUUUCUUCUUCUUAGAGAGACAAUGGUGGCUACAUCACUAAAGCUCGAAAUAAUAACAGGUCUGUUAUGCCCUUAGAUGUCCUGGGCCGCACGCGUGCUACACUGACGCAUUCAGAAAGUUAUCAAUCCGGAAGGAAAGAUUAAUCAUCAAUGUGCGUCAUGUAGGGACAGUUCCUUGUAAUUGUGGAGCUCGAACGAGGAAUGCCUAGUAAGUGCAAGUCAACAUCUUGUACUGAUUACGUCCCUGCCCUUUGUACACACCGCCC
rnacentral:rRNA from 1 species